GCUUGUUGUAUCACACAACUUAUUGCUUCCUACGUAUGGAGCACAGCUCUUUUCCUAGCACCUCUUGCCACUUGGUUGGGUACACACCUCAAGGACAUGGCCUGUACACUGAAGUUGCUGCUGCAGGAAUGAUCUGCUGUUUUCCUGACGUUUCCACUCAGAGAUGCCACUGUACUUGGAGGAAUUUUGAAAUAUUCACACACAAACUGCUUCUGAGGAAAAAGAAGUCAUCUGGCAGGAUGAAAAAAACUAAUGCACUCUCUGAUAUGACAUUGUGUCAAGGCAUACAAAGAGAAGUCUUGGGAAUGGAGAUUAAGAGGGAACUUCCAGAUGUCACCAGAACACUAGCGAUGCAAGGCUGCUGGUACCUCAUGAUGCCCACAAGUAUGCAGCUGUCUACACCAACCAGCAGUGUGGCUGAGGAGUGGACCAGGUCUGAACUGUGCCAUCAGUGGAUCACCAGAAGGUUACAGGUGCAUGUACAUGCAGUGCUUGGGGUUUUCUCUUAUUUUGAGAGAUGUUCUACACUAAACUGCAAUUGAAAUUCUGCCAGCUGUGGAAGAUGUGGACUGCAACAUGUCUGAGAAUCAUUGAAGAAGUUUUCCUUCUAUGUUGGUUUCUAAGCAAUGAGGAAGGUACAAUGCACUGCAUAACAGAUCUAAAGCUCUAUUCAGCUUCAUUGGGCUCAGAGUUUCCUUCAAGACUUUUAAAUGCUCUUCACAUUGAGAGGUUCACACAGCACUCUUUUGGAGACACAGCCCCUCUCACUGAUUGAAGUCUUGCUGUAUUCUUUCACUCAUAUUUUGACAUGAAUCAGUCUCUGUUAUCUCACUAUGAAGAAAUUUAAAAAGAGAAAACAGAUGCAUUUAACUGCAUUGUUUCCUGAUUUUGCCACUCUGUCAUUAUUCCAUUAUUGAUUUCUGGUGUGGUAACUGACUGAUUGGAUUGCCGAAGAAACAAAAUCUGCACAUAGAUUUCAGGGAAGCUUCUACUUCUUAACAUAAACUGUUCAACAGUGUUUAGUUUUACAGCUUUCUACUGCUGAGUGAUAAUCAAUCUUUAGUGACUGGUUACUGGUCUUUUGUAUAUGAG
ensembl:lncRNA